rnacentral:rRNA from 1 species
CCUACGGGGGGCAGCAGUGGGGAAUAUUGGACAAUGGGCGAAAGCCUGAUCCAGCCAUGCCGCGUGUGUGAAGAAGGCCUUCGGGUUGUAAAGCACUUUCAGUGGGGAAGAAAGCCUUGGGGCUAAUACCCUCGAGGAAGGACAUCACCCACAGAAGAAGCACCGGCUAACUCCGUGCCAGCAGCCGCGGUAAUACGGAGGGUGCGAGCGUUAAUCGGAAUUACUGGGCGUAAAGCGCGCGUAGGCGGUCUGAUAAGCCGGUUGUGAAAGCCCCGGGCUCAACCUGGGAACGGCAUCCGGAACUGUCAGGCUAGAGUGCAGUAGAGGAAGGUAGAAUUCCCUGUGUAGCGGUGAAAUGCGUAGAGAUCGGGAGGAAUACCAGUGGCGAAGGCGGCCUUCUGGACUGACACUGACGCUGAGGUGCGAAAGCGUGGGGAGCAAACAGGAUUAGAUACCCGGGUAGUC